UCUACGGUUCGAGUCCGUAUAGCCCUAGAAUAUGAUAAACGGUUUUUCUUUAUCCGUGGGCAAUGAGUUUCGAUGU
rnacentral:tRNA from 1 species